AUUGAACGCUGGCGGUAUGCCUUACACAUGCAAGUCGAACGGUAGAGGGGCAACCCUUGAGAGUGGCGAACGGGUGAGUAAUACAUCGGAACGUGCCCAGUCGUGGGGGAUAACGUAGCGAAAGCUACGCUAAUACCGCAUACGACCUGAGGGUGAAAGCAGGGGAUCGCAAGACCUCGCGCGAUUGGAGGGGCCGAUGGCAGAUUAGGUAGUUGGUGGGGUAAAGGCCUACCAAGCCUGCGAUCUGUAGCUGGUCUGAGAGGACGACCAGCCACACUGGGACUGAGACACGGCCCAGACUCCUACGGGAGGCAGCAGUGGGGAAUUUUGGACAAUGGGCGAAAGCCUGAUCCAGCCAUACCGCGUGCGGGAAGAAGGCCUUCGGGUUGUAAACCGCUUUUGUCAGGGAAGAAAUCUUCUGGGUUAAUACCUCGGGAGGAUGACGGUACCUGAAGAAUAAGCACCGGCUAACUACGUGCCAGCAGCCGCAGUAA
rnacentral:rRNA from 1 species